UGUGGUUGGAGUCAAUGGUCUUUAAGGUCUUUUCCAACCUGAGCAAUUCUAUGAUUCUACGAUUCUAUGAUUCUUUCUACCUGCAUGUGCUUGACUCUUUCGGGAAACAGGACAUAGACAAGGAGGGAAAGUAAGGUGGAACAUACAAUAAUAAACUUACUUGAACUCCUUUUUGCCUUCUGAAUCCCUUUUAGCCAGAUAUCAGAUAAUCUUUGGGAAAGGCCACAUGUUUUUGGAUAAAACUCUCAGUGUUAUAAAGCCUCUUUUAUGGAAUGUGGGGAAUGAUACAAUCUGAUCUUGGCACUGAAUCCAGUUCCACGCAAUAGCAAUCCAUAUGGUGGUGACAGCCUCAGACUUCUUAUAUUUUUUUUCCUCUGCCAUUCAGUAGGAGCACUGUAGUACUCUCUCUCUUGUUCAGAACUGUUCAAGCUUUCCAGACUGAAGACUCAGUUUCAGUUCCUAUGUGCUCUUUAUCCUUGUGCAAAUUACGUCCUUUCACUCUGCAGGUCAGACAAGUCAGUAUUUUCUUUUCUUCGAGAAUGCAGCAGUGGCUUGAGGGUAAUUUGGAGCUGCAGCAUGAGCACUGUAUGGAAACACAGCCAUGUGCUUGCAAAGGUGGGCCAGCAGGAGAACCCUCCAUAACCAGUGAGUGCUUCAAAAAGGAAGAUGAGGAUACAGCUUCUAGACACGUGAGAUUUCAUUUUAAUACAAACCAACAUAAAUUGCAAGAAUCAUACUGACAGGCAAUUCUCCAUUUACAUGAGCACGGUAUCACUGAAAUGUGCUGUUUGAAGAUUUAUGCUCUCCAAGAGUCUUUCUGCCAUCUUGAGCUGAAGGUUUGGCACACGGAACUGACAACUGAAUUUGGAAGCUUGAAUGAAGGGCUAGUGUUCAGGCAGGAAAACUUUGAAGGACAAACCAAGUCUCCAAGAUAAUGAAGAAAUUAUUUCCAAAUGGAAGAACUGUCUAAUGGUUGUUUGAAGGGAUGUCCAUAAAAAGCUACCUUUAACAACUUUCUUGCUGAAGUUUCUAGAUACUUAAAAUUUACACAUGAACUAUUGCAAAAGAAUUUGGGGUGAAAUUUGGUUCAUGGUGAAAUCAAUGGCUGGGCUUUGUAUUGGUUUUAGUGCUUUCUAUGCAAUAAUUUGAAACACAAGGGGAGAGAAGGAUUGUCAUGUGGUUACUUGGCUUGGCUGCCUUUCUAAUUUGCUGUUGUGGGAACACAAAAUUGCUUGUCCAGUGUGUCACUCAGCGUAUAACAAGUAGUUCAAAAUUACUUGUGUUGAAAAAGCAAUUACCACUCCUGU
ensembl:lncRNA